CCCGCCCGGGGCCGCCGCCCGCCCCGGCUCCUCUUGCGGUUCCCCCCGGCCUGCGCGGAGCUCCACCACCCGCCCUGGCGCCGGCGGCCCCGCGUCGUCAACAGCGCGAGGUGUCGGGUGGCCCAGGGUGUUUGGGCCGCACCGGGAGGCUGUUGGAAUGACAAGGACGUCCCCGGGGCCAAACGAAAACAACCCCACCCCCUGCGGCGCCACCCGGCUGGGAGCGGAGAGAGACUGACGGCGGAGGCGGGGGUCAGGGCGCGGACCCGGACCCCAGCCCCAUGGGGGACAGAGUCCAAAAAAACCGGCCGGGUGGAGGAUGCAGCCGGGCGUGGUGGCUACAAGGAAGUGCCCUGGUGUUAAGAACUCAGCCUCUGAAACCCGCCGCCCAGCUUCGAGUCAGCGACGUACUUUUGUUGUCCCGGCCUUAGUAUCCCCGCUGCAAUAAGAGGUACUCAGCUCAAACCAUCUGGGUGAGGAUUAAAGGAGUUCAUAUCCAUAAAGGACUAGAACAGGUCCUGGCACCACGUAAACAUUCUUAUCAUCAAAUGUGAAAAAACAAAGUUCUCUAAGAUUUCGAAAGUGAACAGGUUAUUUUUCUACGGAGUAUUUGUGUCUGUUUCAACGUAAAAUUCAAGUGUAAGCUCCUAAAGGCAGAAAUCAAGCUGACCUAAGCAAAGACCUGAAGGAGCUAUGAGGACAUCUGGCAGAAGAGGUAAUGCUACGGGUAAGGAAUUGUACAAACACAUGAGAAAUAUCCACAGAAAGCAUAGCACCUGGUAGGCACAGAAUGAGUACUAGCUAUUAUUAAUAUUUAGUCCACCCCUCCCUUCAAAAUGGAAAAGCAAUGCUGUGAAUUUUAGUGAAUCGUUUAUAAUUAAAC
rnacentral:lncRNA from 1 species